UAUAGGAGGUCCAGGCUGGGCAGUGACUACAAGUUCAACGGCCGCGGUAUUUUGACCGUGCAAAGGUAGCGCAAUCACUUGUCUCUUAAAUAGAGACCUGUAUGAAUGGCUAAACGAGGGCUUAACUGUCUCCCCCCUCCAGUCAGUGAAAUUGAUCUACCCGUGCAGAAGCGGGUGUAAUAAUACAAGACGAGAAGACCCUUUGGAGCUUAAGGUACAAAAAUCAGCCACGUCAAGCAACUUAAUAUAUAGCAAAAACUUUGUGGAUAAUGACAUUUUUACCUUCGGUUGGGGCGACCACGGAGGAAUUAAGAGCCUCCAGGUGGACUGGGAAAACAUCCUAUAGCCAAGAGAGACAUCUCUAGGCCACAGAACAUCUGACCAAUCAUGAUCCGGCUGAUAAAGCCGAUCAACGAACCAAGUUACCCUAGGGAUAACAGCGCAAUCCUCUCCCAGAGUCCAUAUCGACGAGCGCGUUUACGACCUCGAUGUUGGAUCAGGACAUCCUAAUGGUGCAGCC
rnacentral:rRNA from 1 species